rnacentral:sRNA from 1 species
AGGGCGACGGGAUCCACGCCGCGGGUGACGACCAGGUAGUCGCGCAUCACGAUGCCGUGGCGGUUCUC